AGAGUUUGAUCAUGGCUCAGGAUGAACGCUAGCGGCAGGCCUAAUACAUGCAAGUCGGACGGGAUUGGAGAGCUUGCUUUCCAUGAGAGUGGCGCACGGGUGCGUAACACGUAUGUAACCUACCUUUGUCAGGGGGAUAGCCUCUCGAAAGAGAGAUUAAGCCCGCAUAAAAUCACAUGGUGGCAUCACUAAAUGAUCAAAUAUUUAUAGGACAAAGAUGGGCAUGCGGAACAUUAGCUAGUUGGUAAGGUAACGGCUUACCAAGGCUACGAUGUUUAGGGGAUCUGAGAGGAUGACCCCCCACACUGGUACUGAGACACGGACCAGACUCCUACGGGAGGCAGCAGUAAGGAAUAUUGGUCAAUGGGCGAAAGCCUGAACCAGCCAUGCCGCGUGCAGGAAGACGGCCCUACGGGUUGUAAACUGCUUUUAUACGGGAAUAAACCUACUUACGUGUAAGUAGCUGAAUGUACUGUAAGAAUAAGGAUCGGCUAACUCCGUGCCAGCAGCCGCGGUAAUACGGAGGAUCCGAGCGUUAUCCGGAUUUAUUGGGUUUAAAGGGUGCGUAGGCGGCCUGUUAAGUCAGGGGUGAAAGACGGUAGCUUAACUAUCGCAGUGCCCUUGAUACUGAUGGGCUUGAAUGUACUUGAGGUAGGCGGAAUGUGACAAGUAGCGGUGAAAUGCAUAGAUAUGUCACAGAACACCAAUUGCGAAGGCAGCUUACUAAAGUAUGAUUGACGCUGAGGCACGAAAGCGUGGGGAUCAAACAGGAUUAGAUACCCUGGUAGUCCACGCCCUAAACGAUGAACACUCGAUGUUGGCGAUAUACGGUCAGCGUCUAAGCGAAAGCGUUAAGUGUUCCACCUGGGGAGUACGCCCGCAAGGGUGAAACUCAAAGGAAUUGACGGGGGCCCGCACAAGCGGAGGAGCAUGUGGUUUAAUUCGAUGAAACGGCGAGGAAACC
rnacentral:rRNA from 1 species